GUUGCAUGCAGACGGGAUGGAAUAUCAAUAACAAAGUCUCCAAAUUCAUCAGUGACUCCAUGUACCCAAUCAGAAGAUUUGCUAUUUUUUCCAGUGUUGUGGCAAUUCACACCCACCAUAGCACCUGCAGUGAUUGAUUUGGCCAUGCAUGAACUUGAGGUUCGUCACCAUGCAAACAAGCUUCACAAAGAACAGAGCCCGUGACCAAAACAGUGGACAGUCUCUCCUCACCAUAUCCAGCUAUCUCCCUCCAAUGGUCUCGAUUCAAAAGAUCAGAUACUGGGGUCUCGUCUUCAGCAGAUUCGAUUACCAUCGGGAAUCCAUGGCCAAUAAGGUAGAAGAAGAAGAUACAAAGCCAAAAUAGGUUGACAGAACAGUGGAAGCUCCAAACUCUGUUCAUCAUCUUCUUGGUUUGGUUUUAGGAAAAUGAAACUUUAUCAAUAUGAUUACACAAAUCAACCUGACACCACUUCUUGAUACAUACUCAUAGGUUUAUAUAAUGUGUAUCGAAAGAGAUGACUUGCAGUUUCUGUACAUGUCAAAAUUACAGAAAUGCCCUUUCUGGGUUUGACAUUGACUCGGCAA